rnacentral:rRNA from 1 species
AUGAACGCUAGCGGUAGGCUUAACACAUGCAAGUCGAGGGGCAGCACAGGUAGCAAUACUAGGUGGCGACCGGCGCACGGGUGAGUAACGCGUAUGCAACCUACCUAUAACUGGAGAAUAGCCCCCGGAAACGGGGAUUAAUGUUCCAUAAUGUUCAGAGACUGCAUAGUUUUUGGACUAAAGCUCAGGCGGUUAUAGAUGGGCAUGCGUGCCAUUAGCUAGUUGGUGAGGUAACGGCUCACCAAGGCUACGAUGGUUAGGGGGUCUUAAAGGAUGAUCCCCCACACUGGUACUGAGACACGGACCAGACUCCUACGGGAGGCAGCAGUGAGGAAUAUUGGUCAAUGGGCGCAAGCCUGAACCAGCCAAGCCGCGUGAAGGAUGACGGCCCUAUGGGUUGUAAACUUCUUUUUUACGGGAAGAACCCUCCGACGUGUCGGAGACUGACAGUACCGUACGAAUAAGCAUCGGCUAACUCCGU